rnacentral:rRNA from 1 species
AGAGUUUGAUUCUGGCUCAGAUUGAACGCUGGCGGCGUGCUUAACACAUGCAAGUCGAACGUGAAAGUCCUUCGGGACGAGUAAAGUGGCGCACGGGUGAGUAACGCGUGGAUAAUCUACCCUUAAGAUGGGGAUAACGGCUGGAAACGGUCGCUAAUACCGAAUACGCUCCCGAUUUUAUCAUUGGGGGGAAAGAUGGCCUCUGCUUGCAAGCUAUCGCUUAAGGAUGAGUCCGCGUCCCAUUAGCUAGUUGGCGGGGUAACGGCCCACCAAGGCAACGAUGGGUAGCCGGUCUGAGAGGAUGACCGGCCACACUGGAACUGGAACACGGUCCAGACUCCUACGGGAGGCAGCAGUGGGGAAUAUUGCGCAAUGGGCGAAAGCCUGACGCAGCGACGCCGCGUGAGGGAUGAAGGUUCUCGGAUCGUAAACCUCUGUCAGGGGGGAAGAAACCCCCUCGUGUGAAUAAUGCGAGGGCUUGACGGUACCCCCAAAGGAAGCACCGGCUAACUCCGUGCCAGCAGCCGCGGUAAUACGGAGGGUGCAAGCGUUAAUCGGAAUCACUGGGCGUAAAGCGCACGUAGGCGGCUUGGUAAGUCAGGGGUGAAAUCCCACAGCCCAACUGUGGAACUGCCUUUGAUACUGCCAGGCUUGAGUACCGGAGAGGGUGGCGGAAUUCCAGGUGUAGGAGUGAAAUCCGUAGAUAUCUGGAGGAACACCGGUGGCGAAGGCGGCCACCUGGACGGUAACUGACGCUGAGGUGCGAAAGCGUGGGUAGCAAACAGGAUUAGAUACCCUGGUAGUCCACGCUGUAAACGAUGGGUGCUGGGUGCUGGGAUGUAUGUCUCGGUGCCGUAGCUAACGCGAUAAGCACCCCGCCU